UCUAUGCCCAGAGGAACUCCCUUUGCUCUCUUCCUCUUUCUCUGUUCUCUUUCUCUUGUAUAUUCUUCAAUGUUUCUCUCUUAUGUAAAAAAGUGAGUUUUGAGUGUUAUGUGUGAUUGUAAUAUUGAUAAGCUGCCAAGCCACUGCCCAGAAGAGUGGAAAGCCUUCUGCAGCUUUUGCUUAUGCACUUUGACAUUUCAAAUUUGAUAAGAAGUCUUCUGAUCUUGCUUCUAGCAGGGCUGUACUCCCCACAAAGUGAAGAGUAAUCGUAUAUAUUAAGGUAGGCAACCACGAAGCCAACCAGUGAAACCACAGACUAUGGCUUUGGCGACUUCUUAAUCGUGAUUGCCAACCAUUUUGCAAGCAGAUGCAUACGUUGUCAUAUGCUUCAUGAUAUCUAGAAUUUGGUGUUUUGACAUCCGAUCUAUAUUCCAAUUGACUAUUGAUCUUCCUGAGUAAGAAGUGGGUUAAUAUGUGAAAAUCCAUCUCUGUCUCAGAGAAGUCAGGUUCACUUAUAGCUGAUUCAUUUUUUGCGGGUUUAUAUUGAGGUGGUUGGUGGAUGACAGGUGGCAUGUGACAAGGAAGAAGGAAUAUUGUUGUAGCUGCUUUCACUGUGGUUAACGAUAAGGGAGAGUCUUUUUUACUGUUGGGUGAAGGCGUUUGUAUGAAGGGAAUCUACCUUUUUACUAUUGGAGAAGGACUUUUGUACGGAGGGAAUCAAUUUUUCACUAUUGACGGUUUGUCCUUUAUGUCGGUGAUUAUGAUGGCUGGAUUUUGCCGGGGAACAGAGAAUCUUUAUGUCAUAUCAUGGGUUAAAGGGAUAAUCUUUAGUCUUUUCAAUGUCUAUUUUGGAUCAGGGAAUCUUACUGAAGAAGGAAUAUUGGUUUACUAAGCCGAGUCGGGCUUUUGUAAAGGGUUGGUUUCUGAGACAUGCCAUGGGCAGACUGAUCCUCAGUUUCUUCUGCCUCUGUUUCUGGUGGUUGGCCUUCUUGAUGAAUAUGGGCAGUUUCAGCUUCUUCGAACAUUUUCAAUAGUUGCUUUUUUAGGUUUUCUUUUGUAGCUUCUGGGUUAUAUUUUUUCAACAUGGAAAUAUAUUAUGAGAAACUAUUUGGGUUAGCAUAACAGUAUUAAUUAUGAGCAGAUGGGAUUUGUUUGAGUUGAAUAUGGUCAGGUUCAAUAUUAUGGUA